GUCAGGAUGGCCGAGCGGUCUAAGGCGCCAGACUCAAGGUUCCCCUUGCCUAUACAAAUGUAGGUGCGAGUUGUUCUGGUCCUCUCUGAGGGCGUGGGUUCGAAUCCCACUUCUGACA
rnacentral:tRNA from 1 species